rnacentral:rRNA from 1 species
GAACGCGAAGAACCUUACCUAGGCUAGAAUGUGAGGGAAUGUCGGGUAACGCCGACAGUCCGGGAAACCGGACCCAAAACAAGGUGCUGCAUGGCUGUCGUCAGCUCGUGUCGUGAGAUGUUGGGUUAAGUCCCGCAACGAGCGCAACCCUUAUCAACAGUUGCCAUCAUUAAGUUGGGAACUCUGUUGAGACUGCCGUUGAUAAAACGGAGGAAGGUGGGGAUGAUGUCAAGUCAUCAUGGCCUUUAUGCUUAGGGCUACACACGUGCUACAAUGGAUGGUACAAAACGUCGCAAUCUCGUAAGAGGGAGCUAAUCGCAAAAACCAUUCUCAGUUCGGAUUGAAGUCUGCAACUCGACUUCAUGAAGUUGGAAUCGCUAGUAAUCGCAGAUCAGAAUGCUGCGGUGAAUACGUUCCCGGGUCUUGUACACACGC